rnacentral:rRNA from 1 species
GAAGGGCCGCAGUAUUUUGACUGUGCAAAGGUAGCAUAAUCAUUAGUUUUUUAAUUGAAAGCUUGUAUGAAUGGUUUGAUGAGAAAAUUUCUUUCUAUAUUUAAUUUAUUAAAAAAUUUAUUUUUAAGUUAAAAAGCUUAAAUAUUGAUAAAAGACGAGAAGACCCUAUAGAGUUUAAUAUAAAAUAUAAUUUAAUUUUUUGGAAUUUAUUAUUUUAAAAUUGUAUAUUGUAUUUGAUUGGGGUGAUUGAAAAAUUUAAUUAACUUUUUUUAUUUAUUAACAUAAAUUUAUGAAUAUUUGAUCCAUAUUAAUGAUUAAAAGAAUAAAUUACCUUAGGGAUAACAGCGUUAUUUUUUUUUAGAGUUCUAAUCGAAAAAAAAGAUUGCGACCUCGAUGUUGGAUUAAAGUUAAUUUUAGGUGCAGAAGCUUGAAUAUUUGGUCUGUUCGACCAUUAAAACUUUACAUGAUCUGAGUUUAAACCGGUGUGAGCCAGGUUGGUUUCUAUCUUUAUUAAAUAAAUAAAUUUUAGUACGAAAGGACCAUAUUUAUAAUUAAUAAUUUUUUUUUGAAUAAAAUU